rfam:Microgenomates (Roizmanbacteria) bacterium GW2011_GWA2_36_23 TS11_C0003, whole genome shotgun sequence.
GCUAGCGUAGCUCAGCGGUAGAGCACUCGUUUCAUAAGCGAGACGUCACAGGUUCGAAUCCUGUCGCUAGCA